rnacentral:ncRNA from 1 species
UUGCCGGCGUGAGUCCGGUCCGGGUAGCUGUCAGGAGGCCCGGUAGCAGACUGGCGGCUUCGUGGGGAAACCUGCGGUCGAAGCCCAGUGUCGAAUGCCCUUCAAGGGGGAGCGACUGAGCGGUCCGUAGCAUGA